GAUGAACGCUAGCGACAGGCCUAACACAUGCAAGUCGAGGGGCAGCACAAAGUAGCAAUACUUGGUGGCGACCGGCGCACGGGUGAGUAACACGUAUGCAACCUACCUGUAAGCGGGGAAUAACCCGGAGAAAUUCGGACUAACACCGCAUAAUACUGAAUUACUGCAUGGUUUUUCAGUUAAAUAUUUAUAGCUUACAGAUGGGCAUGCGUAUGAUUAGAUAGUUGGUAGGGUAACGGCCUACCAAGUCAACGAUCAUUAGGGGUUCUGAGAGGAAGGUCCCCCACACUGGUACUGAGACACGGACCAGACUCCUACGGGAGGCAGCAGUGAGGAAUAUUGGUCAAUGGGCGAGAGCCUGAACCAGCCAAGUCGCGUGAAGGAAGAAGGUUCUAUGGAUUGUAAACUUCUUUUGUAAGGGAAUAAAAAGAGUACGUGUACUCUAUUGUAUGUACUUUACGAAUAAGGAUCGGCUAACUCCGUGCCAGCAGCCGCGGUAAAAGUGUGUGUAC
rnacentral:rRNA from 1 species